rnacentral:tRNA from 1 species
GCUUUCGUAUUGUAGUGGUUAGCACGCUCGACGUAUAACCGAGAGAUCCGUGGUUCGAUUCCCGGCGAAGGCU